GGCUCGUGAUUCUCGUCGCCAUUCUGGCCCAGAUGGGAGCAGCGUUUUGGUAUGGGCUCUCUUUUGUGCCGUACGGUCGCGAUGCU
rnacentral:SRP_RNA from 1 species